GAGUUUGAUCAUGGCUCAGAACGAACGCUGGCGGCGUGGAUAAGACAUGCAAGUCGAACGAAGAAUCUCAAUAGCUUGCUAAUGAGAUUUUUAGUGGCGGACGGGUUAGUAACACGUGAGAUACCUACCCUUUAGACAGGAAUAGCCCAUGGAAACGUGGAAUAAUACCUGAUAGUCUCUACGGAGUAAAUGAUGCCUUCUGGUGUCGCUAAAGGAUGGGCUCGCGGCCUAUCAGUUUGUUGGUGAGGUAAAGGCUCACCAAGACUACGACGGGUAGCUGGUCUGAGAGGACGAUCAGCAACACUGGAACUGAGACACGGUCCAGACACCUACGGGUGGCAGCAGUCGAGAAUCAUUCACAAUGGAGGAAACUCUGAUGGUGCAACGCCGCGUGGAGGAUGACGGCCCUAGGGUUGUAAACUCCUGUCAUUGGGGAGUAAGACUUAUGCGUUAAGAGCGUGUAAGUUUGAUAGUACCCAAAGAGGAAGGGACGGCUAACUUCGUGCCAGCAGCCGCGGUAAUACGAAGGUCCCAAGCGUUGUUCGGAAUAACUGGGCGUAAAGCGUGUGUAGGCUGCGCGGAAAGUCAAAUGUGAAAGCCAAGGGCUCAACCCUUGAACUGCAUUCGAUACUCCCGUGCUAGAGUAAUGGAGAGGUAAGUGGAAUUCUCGGUGUAGCAGUGAAAUGCGUAGAUAUCGAGAGGAACAUCAAUGGCGAAGGCAACUUACUGGACAUUUACUGACGCUCAGACACGAAGGCUAGGGGAGCGAAAGGGAUUAGAUACCCCUGUAGUCCUAGCAGUAAACGGUGCUCGCUUGGUGUGGGAGGAUUCGACCCCUUCUGUGCCGGAGCUAACGCGUUAAGCGAGCCGCCUGGGAAGUACGGUCGCAAGACUAAAACUCAAAGAAAUUGACGGGACCCGCACAAGCGGGUGGGAGUAAUGNGGCUUAAUUCGAUGCAACGCG
rnacentral:rRNA from 1 species